ACACCGUUGGUGAAGUGGUUAUCAUGCUUGCCUUCCAUUUAAGAGGAGAGGAAAAUCCGGCUUCUUGAAGCAAGCGGCUCGGGUUCGAUUCCCGAACGGUGUA